UGUCCCUGACUAGGGUAGAGUGUCAUCUGAGUGGUGGUGCCCAUCUCAUAUCACGAGGGACAAAGCAACCCCUUGUUUACCCCAGCUUGGCUUUUGGUCUGUUCCCAUGCCUGGUUCAUACCUUGGACGUUUGG